rnacentral:rRNA from 1 species
UACGGGGGGGGGCAAGCGUUGUUCGGAAUUACUGGGCGUAAAGGGUUUGUAGGUGGCUUGCUAAGUCAGACGUGAAAUCCCUCAGCUUAACUGGGGAACUGCGUCUGAGACUGGUGAGCUUGAGUGCAGGAGAGGAACGCGGAAUUCCAGGUGUAGCGGUGAAAUGCGUAGAUAUCUGGAGGAACACCAACGGCGAAGGCAGCUCGCUGGGACGGUACUGACACUAAGGCGCGAAAGCGUGGGGAGCGAACAGG